UCUAAUAGAUGAACAAAGAAAGUAGUUUCCUGAGAUGAAAUCUACUCCCAGUGAAUAUACUGUGAA
rnacentral:pre_miRNA from 1 species